CCUACGGGGUGCAGCAGUGGGGAAUAUUGCGCAAUGGGCGAAAGCCUGACGCAGCGACGCCGCGUGAGGGAUGAAGGUCUUCGGAUCGUAAACCUCUGUCAGCAGGGAAGAACGGUCACUGUGCUAAUCAGCAGUGAAUUGACGGUACCUGCAAAGGAAGCACCGGCUAACUCCGUGCCAGCAGCCGCGGUAAUACGGAGGGUGCGAGCGUUAAUCGGAAUUACUGGGCGUAAAGCGCUCGUAGGCGGUAUGGCAAGUCAAGGGUGAAAUCCCCGCGCUCAACGUGGGAACUGCCUUUGAAACUGGCAAACUGGAGUGUGUGAGAGGAUAGUGGAAUUCAAGGUGUAGGGGUGAAAGCCGUAGAUAUCUGGAGGAACAUCAGUGGCGAAGGCGACUAUCUGGCACAUAACUGACGCUGAGGAGCGAAAGCGUGGGUAGCAAACAGGAUUAGAUACCCCUGUAGUC
rnacentral:rRNA from 1 species